GGCGACAUGGCCGAGUGGUAAGGCAAAGGACUGUAGAUCCUUUUUUCGCUAGUUCAAAUCUGGGUGCCACCU
rfam:Capsicum annuum cultivar Zunla-1 chromosome 3, whole genome shotgun sequence